CCAAUGUCCAGCAUACAUGAAAUUCUACCGAGCCCGGCGUACUUCGUUGCGGGAAAUUUCGAGCAUGCACAUGUGUAGACUCCGCGGACUUAAAAUCCCCACAAUGCUUUGCAUACUGACCAAUUUCAAACAUCUUUGGCGGAGAAUGGCUGAAGCGACGCAGUACACAUGAAUGCAAGUGUCCCGCCUCAGGACAGGGCACCGAGGAUGGGAAACCCACGGCAGCAACUUGGGUCUGGUUUGUCCUAAUGGAUGAGGCAUUAGGGCAGUGUGCGGCGCUCUGCCCCCCCUUCAAGAGGACAAUCCAGGCCCAAGCACUGCCCAGGAUGGUCAGAAAGUGUGAGAGAAAAAAGAGAAGGACGACACGGAGAGGAACGAAAAAGAGGGUGAGAAAGGAUCCCUACUUUAAUCUCUUAAGGGAGGACAUCCUCUAUCAGAGAGGCAGAGGAGAGGAGAGCAGCAGAGGCCCGAGAAAGGUCCGACAAGUUUUUAGCCGUCUUAGAGCGUUUUGCACCAAAAUAAAAAAUGACAUUGGAAUGAAAAUAAACCUUGUUUUGACUUUG